rnacentral:misc_RNA from 1 species
CAGACAAAACGAUUUGCAUUUAGGACUUCAUUUACAUAUGUUCCUCCAUUUAUCCUUUAGGUCUACUGUAGUACGGCCACUCAGAAAUACAGAACCACCAUACUCCAAAAUUUUUUUCCAUAUAGCUCUUUCACAGUUUUUGAAAAUUUCUGCACUCCCUCCUUAAGCAUCUCCUCUUCCUUAACUGUCCAAGGAACUUUCUUUCUUCUCAACUGAGGUAUUGCUGGGUAUACAUAUUGUCUCUCUCUCCUUCGAGAUCUUAUGGAGUAAUUAGAGAUCAUAUUUUCUUUAUUUCCCUCAUCAAAGAUGUCUCCUUCAUCAAUCUUAAUGGCACAAACAGGUUUCUCCAAUGAAUCACUACUUUGUUGCUCUAGAACUUCCUUCUCAAUUCCUCCCUCAGCUUGUUUUUCAUUUGAAGAGAAAAACUCAUUGUUUUCAGACAUGGGAUUAUCACCAUUGCAUUUGGGGUCAGCACAAAUUUGGUCUUGUCUAUCAAGCGCCUUUACGGACAGGCACUCUGGAGCCAUCUCUUCCCUUUUUUUUUUCACCAGGAGAAAUAUUAAUUGUCCCGUGAGUUGCAUCUGGCUCUUCUUCUCGGCCCAUUAAAUUUACAUGAAGACAUGAUACAAUAGGCUCCACUUGUUGCUCAUCAACAC